UUUUUGCCCGUGUUUCUUUCUCUCUCUCUCUCCGACGGCAAAAAAACGAAGAGAAAAUGCUUUCAAAUCUUCGUCUCCGCCGUUAAUUGUUACAGCCGGUGAAUCGGAGGAUGGCAUCUUCAUCAUCUCAACCGACGGCGGCUCUCCACGGCGCCUCUGGUUCAUCUAAUCGGCGAAGGAAGGUUUUUAAAUCGGAGAGUCAUUUAUGAAGUUCUCCGAGUUUUAUUUCAAGAAAUCUGACAAAAUCCGUGCUUUCGGGUGAAAUAUGUGAACACAUUAUUUAUGCACCGGCAACACACACAAGCUUUGCUUCUUUGCCAGACAUGUAUGAAAGAACUUUGACAAUAAACGGUUUCUCAAAGAUAAAGUUUUUAUUAUUGAGUUGGCUUCUAAUGUCGACCGAUCGAAUUCUUUGCUGAUUGUAUAUCAUGUAAAAGGCUUUCGCAAUGACGGGUUGGAGGCUUGGUUAUCUUGCUGGUCCUAAACAUAUUGUGGCAGCUUGCAGUAAAUUACAAGGCUAGGUUACUUCAGGAGCUAGUAGCAUUGCUCAGAAAGCGCAGGUGUUGCUGCACUUGGGUUAGGCAAAGCUGGAGGAGAUACAAUUGCAGAGAUGGUUAAAGCAUAUAGGGAAAGACGAGAUUUCUUGGUUAAAACUUCUAUAUGUUGUAACUUCUAUAUCAGCUUUGUCUCCAUUCCAAUAAAAAGCUCUCUCUUUA